rnacentral:rRNA from 1 species
UGGGGAAUUUUGGACAAUGGGCGCAAGCCUGAUCAAGCCAUGCCGCGUGCAGGAUGAAGGCCUUCGGGUUGUAAACUGCUUUUGUACGGAACGAAAAGGUUUCUUUUAAUACAGGGAACUGAUGACGGUACCGUAAGAAUAAGCACCGGCU